rnacentral:rRNA from 1 species
CCUACGGGCGGCAGCAGUGAGGAAUAUUGGUCAAUGGGCGAGAGCCUGAACCAGCCAAGUCGCGUGAAGGAUGAAGGAUCUAUGGUUUGUAAACGUCUUUUAUAUGGGAAUAAAGUGAGGAACGUGUUCCUUUUUGUAUGUACAAUAUGAAUAAGCAUCGGCUUACUCCGUGCCAGGAGGCGCGGUAAUAAGGAGGAUGCGAGCGGUAUCCUGAAUUAUUGGGUUUAAAGGGUGCGUAGGGGGUUAAUUAAGUCAGCGGUGAAAGUUUGUGGCUCAAACAUAAACUUGCAAUUGAUACUGGCAGCCUUGAGUUAGAUUGAGGUAAGCGGAAUUCGUUGUGUAGCGGUGAAAUGCUUAGAUAUAACGAAGAACUCCGAUGGCGAAGGCAGCCUACUAAACUGCCACUGACAUUGAUGCUCGAAAGUGUGGGUAUCAAACAGGAUUAGAUACCCGAGUAGUC